CUAUUUAUUUCUUCAUCCAAGGCGGACCACAGGAUGCGCAUAGAGUCCCACCUGUCCAGCAACAACACUCGGGAGGUGUGGCGGGGCAUACAGGACAUCACUAACUUCAGAGGUUGUGAUGUGUCGACAGCAGAUCAGAGCGCAAC